GACGAACGCUGGCGGCGUGCUUAACACAUGCAAGUCGAGCGGUGAACCCUUCGGGGGGAUCAGCGGCGAACGGGUGAGUAACACGUGAGCAACCUGCCCCUGACUCUGGGAUAGCCUCGGGAAACCGGGAUUAAUACCGGAUAUGACAUCGCCUCGCAUGGGGUGGUGUGGAAAGUUUUUCGGUCAGGGAUGGGCUCGCGGCCUAUCAGCUUGUUGGUGGGGUGAUGGCCUACCAAGGCGACGACGGGUAGCCGGCCUGAGAGGGUGACCGGCCACACUGGGACUGAGACACGGCCCAGACUCCUACGGGAGGCAGCAGUGGGGAAUAUUGCGCAAUGGGCGAAAGCCUGACGCAGCGACGCCGCGUGAGGGAUGAAGGCCUUCGGGUUGUAAACCUCUUUCAGCAGGGAAGAAGCGCAAGUGACGGUACCUGCAGAAGAAGCACCGGCUAACUACGUGCCAGCAGCCGCAGUAA
rnacentral:rRNA from 1 species